UACGAAGGGGGCUAGCGUUGUUCGGAAUUACUGGGCGUAAAGCGCGCGCAGGCGGCGUGUCAAGUCAGGCGUGAAAGCCCCGGGCUCAACCUGGGAACCGCGCUUGAGACUGGCAUGCUCGAGUUCGGGAGAGGAUGGUGGAAUUCCCAGUGUAGAGGUGAAAUUCGUAGAUAUUGGGAAGAACACCGAUGGCGAAGGCAGCCAUCUGGACCGACACUGACGCUGAGGCGCGAAAGCGUGGGGAGCAAACAGG
rnacentral:rRNA from 1 species